GGAUGAAGAACGUAGCGAAAUGCGAUAAGUAAUGUGAAUUGCAGAAUUCAGUGAAUCAUCGAAUCUUUGAACGCACAUUGCGCCCGCCAGUAUUCUGGCGGGCAUGCCUGUUCGAGCGUCAUUUCAACCAUCAAGCCCUGCUUGCGUUGGGGUCCUGCGGCUGCCCGCAGGCCCUGAAAACCAGUGGCGGGCUCGCUAGUCACACCGAGCGCAGUAAUACAUCUCGCUUUGGGCGUGCGGCGGGUUCUUGCCGUUAAACACCCCCUUUUUACCAAGGUUGACCUCGGAUCAGGUAGGAAUACCCACUGAACUUAAGCAUAUCAAUAAGCGGAGGA
rnacentral:misc_RNA from 1 species